rnacentral:lncRNA from 1 species
UUUGUGCAGAGUACAUGACUACUGCAAUGAAGAAACAAAAGUCUUAUGGACAGGGCACAGAAUUGAGCAGUGGAGAAGUAGAUCUAUGUCAUCCCUCACCCUUUUCCCCAUUUUGGAGAUGAUUUCCUUUCUUGUGGAUUAUCAGUGCAGCAUUUAUUGGAUAGUAUCAUCCAAUUUUUGACUGGAGUAUUUUCACAUUGUAUUAUAGUAAUUCAGCAAGGAAAUUUCCAGACAAUUUUAUUUUCCAUCUAGAGAAAUCUAGUUUAAUAAUAGCAUUAAGAGUGUUCAGAAGAUAUUCCAAAAUAAUUAGCAAUUUCUGCUCUUAAUACUACUUGAAAAUGAUAAAAUACUAUCAAUAUUUCUUUCAAAGUAGAUAUUAUGCUAGUGGAAUCAAAACCUUCAAGUACUGAUACAAUCACAUUAACUAGCAAGAGAAGAAUUUUCUAUGUUUGAAUUCCCGUUUAACUUUUAUUUUAUGUAUAAAUAGAAAACGAAAUUUUAUUAGAAUUACUAACUGAUUAGUUGAAGUUAUUUAAGGAUGAAUUUUUUUUUUCUUUAAAUAAAUUUUAGCUUAAACUGGAAAUUUGUGCAUGUUAAUGUAAGUAUCAGUUUAACUUCCUAUCAUUUCUUUAAAUCAUCUCAAUAUUUUUUUUGUAUGAUGUUAGAAAAGAUAUAAAUUCUUUAAUCACCGAUUAUUACUGUCAUUCUCAUUGUUUAACAAUCUUUUAACAUUGCUUGCCUUUAUUCAUUAAAAUUAACUGAAAUUGAUUUAUUUUAGUGUUUGAGAAGUUAUUGCUUAAAUUAAAAUUUAGUUAAAUAUGAUAGUUUGUUACGUUUUUACCUCAAAAAAUGUCAUUUGUGUUUAUGGAGAACAGUUGCUCUAUGUAGUUAUUAAAUUGUAAUUUAUAUUAUACAGUUAUUAAUUGAUGAAUAACAUCCCUGAAUUUUAUUCAAAUUCUUGUUUUAAUAUUUUAUAAGCAGUACAGACAGGUAAAUUGCAAUUUAUUUUGGAAUAUCUUUUUAUGAGUUUUACUCUAAUCAUGUCUUUUUAUAGAAUCUCAUUUUAUUUUUUAAGAAAAAUAGUAUUUUAGUAGAUUGAAAUGUGAUUUUAGUAACUAUUUUGAUUUUGUUUAUUCUCUGAAUUCAACUUGUUUAUAUAUCUUUGUAUUUACAUAUUUUUGUUAACCGUUUUUCGAUUGUGUUAUGUUAUGAAAAAGUCAUUGGAGUUGUAUAAUUAGGGUUUCAAGUUUGUCAGGGAGUGAAUUUUCAUGCUCAUUUCCAUGAUUUAUUAUUCUUAAAUCCAGAAAUGUUUUGAAGUGCUGUGAUUUGUGCAAUAAUUGUUUACACAGAUAAGUUUUUUCACCUUAUUCUAAUUCAACAACACUUAUUCUAUCAACAAUUACUACUUCUCUGCAGCUUUAAAAUUGAUAAUUUUUUAUUGAUAAAAUGUUUAGGAAAAUAGAUCAAUAGCAGUUUUACAUGAAAAUAGUUCAGAGAUAGUCCAAAUCUUAUUAAGUAAGGUGGUCUUACUAUCUUUUCAAUUAUAAGUUAAUAAGAGCAACAUGACUUCCAAAUAGUGCAAUAAGCUCUUACUUUACCAGAAAUUAAUUGAAAUGACAAUUAACUGAGUGAGGGGGUUACACAGGCUAUAUGACCAGGACUGUGAAAUUUAUAAAAACUUUGCAUUAAAAAAUGUAUAGAAAUGUUUACAACUAAAUAUUUGAUGAACGGAAAAACAUAUCAAGAAUAAUUUAACAAUUUGCAAUAUUUCUUUGAAAUUCUGUUUAUAUGAAUAAAUUUAGUGUUACAUAAAAUUAAAUUAAAUCGAAAAAUUUUUUCUGCUCCUUUACAUGCUUAUAUUUGUAUUCCUCGGAAAUUUCUAAAUUUUAUGUGAAAUUUGACGACAAGCUUGCAACCCUAAUUAUGACCAAUUUAAAAACACAUUGUUAUAUUAUCAAAAUUCUUUGUUAAAUGAUCAGGAGAAAUUCUUUAUCUUUGAGAAUUUGUGAAUCAAUUUUUCAGCAAACUGGUUUUUAGUAUUUGUGUUUUGCAUGUCAUGUUGUUCUAUUUGUUUAUUAUUUAAUUAAAAGUUUCAAACUCAUAAAUUAUUGACAAAUAUAUUUCAUUUAUAUGCAAAAUACAGUAGAACCUCAGUUAUCCUACACCUCUUUCAACAAUUGUUAAACUGUAUUGCAUUCUGGCUGAUGUAUUGUUUCUUUUUAGUCAUUAAACUCAUUAAUUACUACAGUAAUGAUAAUUCUGAAAAACUCCUAGGAAGUGACCACAAAAAAAAAUUAAGAAUGACUUAUUUUUCAUGCUAUUGUGUCAUAGGAUUAUUUUAUUUAUGACAGAAAAAAAAAACACGGGUGAGGCAGACAUAGGAUUAUUCAAAGUUUCUAAAUUUUAGAAGAGAGAAAAUGCUAUAUUAACUAUUGAUUUUUUUUAAAUAAUAUUCCUACAUUAUUUUGCUAUUUUACUCUAAUAUGAUUUUAUUCUCCUUAAUCCAUAUCUGCUGCCAACUCUCCUGGAUUUUCCAGUAGUUCUCCUGGAUUUUGGCCAGUUUCACCUGGUUUA